GACGAACGCUGGCGGCGUGCUUAACACAUGCAAGUCGAACGAGGAUCUCCCGCUUGCGGGGGCGAGGAGUGGCGAACGGGUGAGUAAUACGUGAGUAACCGGCCCUUCACUCUGGGAUAAGCCUUGGAAACGGGGACUAAUACCGGAUACUACUUCUAGCGGCAUGGGGGGGGGUGGAGAGGGAUUUACUAGUUGUGGAUGGGCUUCCGGCCUAGCGGCAUUUUGUAGGGGUAAUGGUUGAGCAAGGCGAAGACGAGUAGCCGGACCGGGGGGGUGAGCGGGCACACUGGGACUGGGACUCGGCCCCGACUCCUACGGGUGCGAGCGGUGGCGAAUAUUGAUAUAUGGGCGGGAGCCUGAUGCAGAGCCACCGAGUGCGGGAUGACGGUGUUGGGGUUGUGAUCCUCUUUCAGCAGGGAAGAAGCCGAUAGUGACGGUACCUGGAGAAGAAGCGCCGGCUAACUACGUG
rnacentral:rRNA from 1 species